rnacentral:tRNA from 1 species
GCACAGUUAGCUCAGUGGUUAAGAGCAGUCACUGGCAGAUCUCUGCCGGUGACUAAGUCCUGGGUUCGAUUCUCAGUAUGUGCA